rnacentral:rRNA from 1 species
GCCACUCAGAGAAACGUCUUAAAUCAGAGUUUGGUAUCCUCCGGCGACGCCCCGCGUGAGCGGGGCCGGGGGCCCGGGGGGCCGACCGCCGAAGCAACAUGUAGGUAUGUUCACAAAGGGUCAUAGAGUGGAACUCGACCUCCGUAGGGUAACCUGCGGAGGGAUCAUUAUCGAGUUACCACGGUCUAUAACCCUUUGUGAACAUACCUACAUGUUGCUUCGGCGGUCGGCCCCCCGGGCCCCCGGCCCCGCUCACGCGGGGCGUCCGCCGGAGGAUAACCAAACUCUGAUUUAACGACGUUUCUUCUGAGUGGCACAAGCAAAUAAUCAAAACUUUUAACAACGGAUCUCUUGGUUCUGGCAUCGAUGAAGAACGCAGCGAAAUGCGAUAAGUAAUGUGAAUUGCAGAAUUCAGUGAAUCAUCGAAUCUUUGAACGCACAUUGCGCCCGCCAGCAUUCUGGCGGGCAUGCCUGUUCGAGCGUCAUUUCAACCCUCAAGCACUGCUUGGUGUUGGGGCUCUACGGUUGACGUAGGCCCCCAAAACUAGUGGCGGACCCUCUCGGAGCCUCCUUUGCGUAGUAACUUUUGUCUCGCACUGGGAUUCGGAGGGAUUCUAGCCGUUAAACCCCCAAUUUUCUAAAGGUUGACCUCGGAUCAGGUAGGAAUACCCGCUGAACUUAAGCAUAUCAAUAAGCGGAGGUA